UAUUUCCUUUGUUUUCCAUUUCUCUUAGGGUUAGGACCCUAACAACUGGUAUCAGAACUCCAAAUCAUGGGGCCGAGGAGAGCUGGAGAUCCACCACAAUAUUCAUCAACACAGCCGCGUCCACCUGACCCAAGUUCAGAAGCUGACUAGUUCGCUGGCCCACAUGGACCUGUUCGUGACUCCUCCGCCGCUAGCACAGUUCACUGCCAGCCCGCCUCCUCUUCUAGACGGUGCCGUUUCGGCUCAGCCGCACAACAACCCUGCAUCCUUUUACUGGGUAAGUGAUACUAGCACUAGAGUUUCUAAUCAGUUCAAUUUUUGGAAUGAUGAUUGUAGUGGUGUGGGCUCAGUGUUUGGUGCUAAAUUAAAUGUUAUUGAUGAGAAGUUAGGGAAUGGGGAAGGAGAGAGUUCUAAUAAGAGGGCUGAGGUGAAUAUGGGAGAUGGUAGAGAGUUCAAUGAGCUUGAGAGUGUUAGUUGCUAAGCAGGAUGAUUCGGGAUUGAGUUUGUGUGGGGAGAGGACAGAAUGUAACGUUGAUGAAAGUGGAAAAGGGAUAUUGGAGAAUGAAAUCGAGUAUGAUCAGAACCAUUCAACUCCAAAUUUGAAUAUUGGCUUCAGCAACACCAACACCUUUAAUCAACCACAGUCAAGCAACACAGGUGGCCUCGAUGGUUUAGCAUGCAUUUCUGGUCUGUAGCUCAAGGUGUUGCCAUUUUACCACAACCAAUACCUGCUACAAGCCCAAUUGGAAUGCUUACCAUGCUGCCUCAGAUGUCAAUUGCUCAUGUGGGAACUACACCAUCAAUUCAAUAUGGAAUUUCAAGCAUCCCUGUCAUACCUGAUACUGGGUUAAAUAGUGUUAAGUCUUAGUUAAGUGUGAUGGAGAUGGCUGCUUAUAUGGUGAAGAAUGAAAGUUUUGGGAGUGAAAUUGGCAGAAAUGGGGAACCCGCACUUCUAGGGUCGUUAUCCCAGCUACCGUCAGCCAUCAAAUCAGUGAGCUCGCUGCUGUCACCGCCAAUUCAAUCUUUUCCAAGAUCAACUCAGUUUAUGUCUCCAACUAGAGGUCUUAUACUAGAGAAGGGAGAUGCUGACAAAAAGAAGACUGGUGAACUUACAGAGCUUGAUAAUAUAUCGAUGAUGGUAGGAAAUUACUUUCAGUAUGCUUUACCUAAGUGCUGUGGGUAUGGAAAGGAUAUUGGUACAUGUUCUGUGGUGAAUGUUUUUAAUGCAUUGUGUGUAAUGCUCACGCAUUACAUUGAGAGUCCAAAGAAGAUUAGUCACUAUGUACUGCAACUAUGCUUGUCUGGAUUUGAUAAGAAGGUUCGUGAUAAAGGUAGUACUCUCUUAACAAAUGAACUUUUUAUGGAGUACUUUGCAGGGACAAUGGCAUCUGGUAAUAGCUUGAAAUUUACCUUUUCACUAAUAAUGACUUUGAUUGAAUUAUGGAGUUAUGGAUAUGUUGAGAAAAAUAUAAGAUGGUUUACCAAAAUUUCAGUGAUUAGUUUUGGAAAUGGAUGGUUCGAUUUCCACCAUGAUCAUGGGCUUAUCUCUUGUGGCAUUGAAUUCAAUAGUUUCUUGGUGAAUAGAAAUGAUGGACACAUAGUUGUUCUAUGCCCCAACAUGUUCAAAGAUGGGUUUAAUUUGGAGUAUCAGUGGGAAACAAAAGGAUCUGGGAAUUUGCUUAUGCUAGCUUGUCCUCUGCAUGUGAAGCUUCUUAAGAAUGAUGUACUGGUUUCGAAUCACUUGCUAAACUGAAUUUGCUUAUGUGAACUAGUUCUAUGUGUUCGUAAAGGAGUUGGAGAAAGCACUUGCUAUUUUGCUUGUGAGUUUGCUCAAAAUUACGGCAGAUAUUAGAGAGCAGAUUGAGCUUCUUCAUGGGCAAGCAAAAAGGGCAGAGUUGUAUAUUGACCUUAAAGAGAUGAAAAUGAGAGAAGAGCUUUUGGUAUUGAUGGGGAGCAACAAUGAGAGGAACAAGAAGAACAAUGGGUUUGUAGACUUGGUUAUUGAGGAAAUUAUUGAAUUUCUCCAGAUCAACUUAGAGUUCUCAUCUUCGAGGUACUCUUUUGGUCUAGUUGUUCCAAUUACUACUAUUGCUAUUCAAUUAGUUGGAAAGAAGCAUAUCUUGGAUCUAUUGCUAGCUACGCUAUUUGGGAAUGUCCCACAUGUUUUUGGAACUUUGAGUGUUAUUAUUCUUGUCAGUAAACUAAAUCACAAGAAGGAAUCACUUGAUGUUACUUGCCUUGCGACCAUCUUCUUUGUUAAUUAUGUAUUAUCUCUGCAUAUGCAACUUGGGGAGAAAUGUAUGCCACCUCAAAUAGUGGAGUUUACUCAACAUUACAUAACAAAGAAAGAUUUGGUCACUUUUUGGAUUUGGGUUCCUACACUGUCAGUUCAAAAGUUUGGAUUCUUAACUCGCAUGGUUUGAUUGUGAUCAAGGCUCAUCUAUUAAUUGGUGACAUAGUCCUGAUAAGAGGGCUUAUGUUUGAUAUUGAAUCUCACAUCACUCCCACUGGAGCAGUUGCUACUAGACUUAUUAUCUAUUCUAGUGAAGACUUGCACAUUACCAACUCAGAUUCACAUAUGGCUCACUAUAACAUGUGUUUGCGGCACACAAAGGGCAAGGUGAGGGAUAUAAUGAGCAACAUUUGUUUGAGAAUCUCAAUGAAUCAUGAGGAAGAGAUUUCAAAGCUAGAGGCAGAAGCUCAAAAGCAAACAGGGAGUGGUGGACUAAUUGUGGUGAUUCUAGAUAUCGAGAAGUACUUGGGGGACGCAAUUGAGUCAUGGUUAGAUGAAACUCUUGGUAAAAAUGGUUCUUGUGAGAUUAAAUGGGGUGGCAAUUUUACUAAACAAGGAUCAUUGGAUUAUGGUGCAGCCUUUGGGUUUGGACUUUACAUUAAUCACCAUUAUCACUUUGGGUUACUUUCUGUAUGGGAUUUCGGUGCUUGCUAAGAUUGAACUGGAAUGGGAGAUGAGGUAUGAGCCUCAAGUUGAUUCACUUGCCGCAGAUUUCAUGAACCUAGACAAGAGGACAGAUUUCUAUUAUUCCCUGGUGAGAUGCUUUGAUUUGUAUAGACUGCAUUCCUGGGCAGGAGGGGUGAGUUACAAGGAAACAAUGCAGGAUGGUUAUGUAAUUUCAAAAUUCUGGUUUGAGAUUAUGGCUAUUUGUCUGAGCAGCAGAUUAUUUCUUAAACUUGAGGUCAAGUUUCAAUUGAAGAGGGGUGGUGUUGUUAGGACCCAACUAUGUGAUCAACCGAGCCCAAACUUGUAUCCAGGCCCAGAAUAGAUAUUUUGGUUGUAUAAGCCCAAAUUAGGUCCAAAUAUGUAAACGAAGUCAUUUAUUUCGACUAUAUAGCUGGAGUCCAGCUGCAUUGUAAAGAAUCGUCAGAGAAUUGAAUUGAAUUUGGCUUUUGUUUUUCUA